ACGGGUGAGUAACGCGUGGGAACGUGCCUUCCGGUUCGGAAUAACCCUGGGAAACUAGGGCUAAUACCGGAUACGCCCUUAUGGGGAAAGGUUUACUGCCGGAAGAUCGGCCCGCGUCUGAUUAGCUAGUUGGUGGGGUAACGGCCUACCAAGGCGACGAUCAGUAGCUGGUCUGAGAGGAUGAUCAGCCACACUGGGACUGAGACACGGCCCAGACUCCUACGGGAGGCAGCAGUGGGGAAUAUUGGACAAUGGGCGCAAGCCUGAUCCAGCCAUGCCGCGUGAGUGAUGAAGGCCUUAGGGUUGUAAAGCUCUUUUAUCCGGGACGAUAAUGACGGUACCGGAGGAAUAAGCCCCGGCUAACUUCGUGCCAGCAGCCGCGGUAAUACGAAGGGGGCUAGCGUUGCUCGGAAUCACUGGGCGUAAAGGGCGCGUAGGCGGCGUCUUAAGUCGGGGGUGAAAGCCUGUGGCUCAACCACAGAAUGGCCUUCGAUACUGGGACGCUUGAGUAUGGUAGAGGUUGGUGGAACUGCGAGUGUAGAGGUGAAAUUCGUAGA
rnacentral:rRNA from 1 species